GUACAGAUAUGUUCUCUUGGUCUCUUGUGUCGCUGCUUCUGUCUCUUGCUUGUAUAACUAGCUGCCAUGCUGUCAUUUUUAAGUUCAGCAUCAAUCAAACGUGUCAAAGCUCUAUACUUGUGACGUUUUCUAUAAUAAAGCAGGACUUGUCCAACACUACUUCUUACACUGAACUAUACUCCUGUUCUGCCAAGCUUCCUCCAAAUGCUAGUGCUGAAUUUAGUCCUGUACAUGAUGGAUCAAAUACAAAUGAAUUGUUUCUUCAGUGGCAUUCCAAUAGUAGGGAUGUCAGUUGAUUUCUUGAAGUUAUUAAUAGCGUGAAUAUAACCUUUUUAUCAGUUAGACUGUAAAACAAGGAUCACAAAGAUAUAUAAUACAACAUAAAUACAACUUACAGGAGCGGUGUAAUAAUUUUUUUCUGAUUUACUGAAUCUCUGAAAAAUUAAUAAAGAAUGAAUGGGGCGUGGUGGCACAUAUUUUAAUAACUGAAUUUUAGCUGAAUCAGCUGAGAAAUAGUGCCUCAACACACCCUAGAAAAGAUAUCUGGUACAAGUCAGAUUGACCAUUCCUGUGUCAGUACUACCAUUCACCACCUUAGAAGAUGACUGAAGAAGAUGAUAUGCCUAUGCAAUGCUAUCAAGCAGAUAAAGUUCACUGUGUCUGGCUAGUGAAUGGAGAAAUGAAGGUUCUUUUCGAAUGCACACUUCCAGAGGGGUCUGGGCAAUUGAUAUCUGGAUCUGUCAAUUUAGUCAUAAAUAAAGAAUUAAUACAAGAGUAUAUUGACAGUAUGGAUCAUAUUCCACACAUAAGAAAAGUCACAACUACAACUUUAGAACCUACAAUGGGACUUCAUGUUUAGAGACUAAUUUAAAAUGAACUGCUUCAUGUUUAGAGACUAUUUUGAAAUGCAUUGAAGUUAUGCAUCAUUAUUUUUAAAAAUGAUUGUUGAAAUGGA